rnacentral:rRNA from 1 species
GACAUGUCCGGAAUCCGAACGAGAUUUGGGAGGUGCUCGCAAGAGAGCCGGAACACAGGUGCUGCAUGGCUGUCGUCAGCUCGUGUCGUGAGAUGUUGGGUUAAGUCCCGCAACGAGCGCAACCCUUGUCAUUAGUUGCCAUCAUUUGGUUGGGCACUCUAAUGAGACUGCCGGUGACAAACCGGAGGAAGGUGGGGAUGACGUCAAGUCCUCAUGGCCCUUAUGGGUAGGGCUUCACACGUCAUACAAUGGUCGGUACAGAGGGUUGCCAACCCGCGAGGGGGAGCUAAUCCCACAAAGCCGAUCGUAGUCCGGAUCGCAGUCUGCAACUCGACUGCGUGAAGUCGGAAUCGCUAGUAAUCGUGGAUCAGCAUGUCACGGUGAAUACGUUCCCGGGUCUU